UACGUAGGGUGCGAGCGUUAAUCGGAAUUACUGGGCGUAAAGCGUGCGCAGGCGGUUUUGUAAGCCAGAUGUGAAAUCCCCGGGCUUAACCUGGGAAUGGCAUUUGGGACUGCAAGGCUCGAGUGCGGCAGAGGAGACUGGAAUUCCUGGUGUAGCAGUGAAAUGCGUAGAUAUCAGGAGGAACACCGAUGGCGAAGGCAGGUCUCUGGGCUGAUACUGACGCUGAGGAGCGAAAGCGUGGGGAGCGAACAGG
rnacentral:rRNA from 1 species